GACGAGCCGUGCGGACGUUGUUCGGAUUCACUGGGCUUAAAGGGCGCGUAGGCGGACGGUCAAGUCAGGGGUGAAAUCUUUCAGCUCAACCGGAAAAGUGCCUCUGAUACUGAUCGUCUCGAGGGAGGUAGGGGCAUGUGGAACUUCCGGUGGAGCGGUGAAAUGCGUAGAUAUCGGAAGGAACGCCGGUGGCGAAAGCGACGUGCUGGACCUCUUCUGACGCUGAGGCGCGAAAGCCAGGGGAGCGAACGGG
rnacentral:rRNA from 1 species